UUCAGGAAGUUAUGAAACACAUUUUCCCUGACAGCAUUCUCUGGAGAAAAAGUUCACUUCAUAAAGGAGGAGGAGAACAAUGAAAUAAUCAGUAACACACGCCACCACAACAACCUCUCCCUACCAGAGAAAAAGGCCAUAGAAUCUCUAAGAUGUAACCACCAAAGAGUAAUAAAACCAGCAGAUAAAGGAGAAGCCAUAGUCAUCUUAAACUGUGAAGACUACAUAAAGGAAGCCAAUGUCAGACAGCUCUCUGACACCACCUACUACAAAGAACUACAAGAAGAUCCUACUCCCCUUUUCACCAAGAAACUCAACAAUACCAUCACAUAAUUUCCAUCAGGACUACAAGAAAAGCUACUGACCUUGAUCCCCCCACUACCUAACCCGGGGACUUUUUACAUGCUCCCUAAAAUCCACAAACAAGGGAACCCUGGCAGACCUAUCAUAUCUAACUAUGGGACCCUAACCAAGGAAAUAUCAGGUUUUGCAGAAUCAAUCCUAAAACCGCUUGUCACCCUCAGAGCAAGUUUUGUCCAAGACACUACAGACUUUCCAUGGAAACUUAAAAAUAUAGACCACCUUCCCAGCAACACCCUCCUAAGCCACCAUUGACAUUACCAGCCUAUAUACCAACAUCUCACACCAGGACGGCAUUCAAGCCUGCCUUACAUAUCUACAGGAACAAAAUUACAACUCAGAAUACAGGCCCAAAGAUAUUACUGACCUUAUACACUUCAUCCUCACACACAACAAUUUCACUUUUAAUAACCAACACUUCCUCCAGACGAUGGGAAUAGCUAUGGGCACCAAAAUGGCCCCACAGUAUGCCAACCUUUUUAUGAGCCACCUGGAAGAAGACUUCCUCAAGACCUGCACCAUCAAACCCUUGCUAUACUUAAGAUAUACUGAUGACAUCUGCAUCAUUUGGACUGAAAACCUGCAAUCUCUGAUUGAGUUCCAUCAGAAAUUCAACAAUCACCAUCCCUCCAUCUGACCUUCUCUAGAGUACUCCAGCACCAACAUCUCCUUUUUAGACAUGAUGAUCAGUAUCCAGAAUGAUAAAAUACAGACCACUUUAUACAAGAAACCCACAGACCAACAUACAUAUCUGCACAGAACCAGCAAUCACCCUAAACACACCAAAAAAGCUGUGAUCUACAGCCAAGCCCUCAGAUACCACCGCAUUUGCACUGAAGAGAACACCCAGGAUUGCCACCUCACCAAUCUUAAAAAGGCUUUCAUCCAACUUUUUAUUCCAUCCAGGAAGAGCACACACCAACUGCUGAAGCUUCCUUAGCCUGAUGAAGGGUUUUUGAACCCUAAAGCUUGCUUAAUAACUAUUCUCCAACCGUUUGGGUUGGUCUAAUAAAAGAUAUCAAAUUCACCCAAGGAACCUUGUCUGCCUAUGUCCUUAGACCAACACGGCUACAACCCAAACCCCUUCACCCAACAAGGACACUCCUCCAGAGAGAUACAUCACACAUUUGAAAGAGCCAACUGGAUACUAGGUGAAGAACUGCUGCAGUACAGAAGAAAACUGCCACAAAUCGCACACCACUGGUUAUGACAUAUCACCCUCCCUUGAACCUGUACAGAAAAUCCUCAAACAACUGCAGCCCAUACUAGAAAGAGACCCUAUUCUUAAAGAGAUCUUCCCAGAGCCACCCAUCCUAGCCUUCAAACAAGCACUGAACCUCGCUAACCUCAUCACCAGAAGCAAACUUCCUCAAGCCCAAAACACACCAAAUGGAUCCAGACCAUGCCACGACAAGAAAUGCAAAACCUGCCAACACAUCUCCACCACCCCCACUAUUACUACACCCCACAACAGAGCCAUCAGCAUUCCCAGAUAUUACAGCUGCACCUCCAGAAAUGUAGUCUCUCUCAUCCAAUGCACCAAAUGCCCUGAUGGAAAACAUGCAGGAGAGACCAAACAACAACUGCGCACCAGAAUGAACGCACACCGGAAAGCUAUCAGAGACAGGAAUACCCAAUUACCGGUGGGGGCACAUUCUCACAAGAAAAACACUCUCUCUCCAAUCUCUCAGUCCUGAUCCUCAAAGGAAACUUACACAACACUUCUCAGAGACAAGCUUAUGAACUCCACUUCAUCAACCUCCUGGAUACUAAAAAUCAUGGACUAAAUAUAGACAUUGGAUUUAUGACACAUUAUAACCUGCCUGACAUCCGACUCCCCAGGUACCUCUCCACUAUUCAUCCCCCUUCUCUCCCCACCACCCAUUGACUCCUCAGUCUACAUCUUCACUGACUGCCUGUCUUGCAUGCAGACCAGCCCGGCCUCUGGCUUCUUUACUUUUCAUUCCAUCCAAGGAAAGCACACACCAACUGCUGAAACUUCUUCAGCCUGACGAAGGGUUUUUGAACCCAAAAGCUUGCUUAAUAAUUGUUUUCCAACUAUUUAAGUUGGUCUAAUAAAAGAUAUCAGAUUCACCCAAAGAACCUUGUCUGCCUAUGUCCUUAGACCAAGACAGCUACAACCUACACCCCUGAAUCACCUACAGGCACUGGUUUGGCCCUCUAGAUGUAGCAGUGAAACCAUGGGGGGAGAAGUAGUGCGCACUUGGAAAGCAAGAAGAACAAACUCUACAAGAUAAAGAGAAGUGCUGGAUACAGUACAGAGAAAGGGGAAGGGCAGGUACAGAUUAGGAACGUUCGUUACUUUUUUAGACGUAAUUGACAGUCAGCGCUUUAGAAAAGAACCUCACAAAUUCAUACCUGUGCCUGCCAGACCCACUGCUUGUUUACUCUGAAAUCUUCAAACAAUAAACUGUAAAGAAAUUUGCACCACAAAAUGUACUUUUCCUUAUUUUUGUAUAAAGAACUAAAUGCUUUUCAAAAUACAGAGUCAAUGUAUUCAUGUUCAACAUCGCCCCCAAUACUACCAAGUUAUUGAGAGAAGUGAAAUAAAACUGUUGCAGAUUUUGUUGGAAUGAUCAGCUUUGUGGAUUAGAACAAAAAUUAAUAACUCUUUAUUAGAGUAUAAAUUAAUAAUAUAAUAAUGCUGAACAAUUAUAUAUCACUUUUACAUGUUUUCCAAUACUCUGCAUGCGUGCAUUAAUAAUUUACAUCAACAUUGUUCUCAUUUAAGGUUAACAAAUUAAAAUAUAUAUAAUUAC